GAUGAACGCUGGCGGCGUGCCUAAUACAUCCAAGUCGAGCGAACAGACGAGGAGCUUGCUCCUCUGACGUUAGCGGCGGACGGGUGAGUAACACGUGGAUAACCUACCUAUAAGACUGGGAUAACUUCGGGAAACCGGAGCUAAUACCGGAUAAUAUAUUGAACCGCAUGGUUCAAUAGUGAAAGACGGUUUUGCUGUCACUUAUAGAUGGAUCCGCGCCGCAUUAGCUAGUUGGUAAGGUAACGGCUUACCAAGGCAACGAUGCGUAGCCGACCUGAGAGGGUGAUCGGCCACACUGGAACUGAGACACGGUCCAGACUCCUACGGGAGGCAGCAGUAGGGAAUCUUCCGCAAAGGGCGAAAGCCUGACGGAGCAACGCCGCGUGAGUGAUGAAGGUCUUCGGAUCGUAAAACUCUGUUAUUAGGGAAGAACAAAUGUGUAAGUAACUAUGCACGUCUUGACGGUACCUAAUCAGAAAGCCACGGCUAACUACGUG
rnacentral:rRNA from 1 species